rnacentral:sRNA from 1 species
GGGAGUUUGGCUGGGGCGG